CAGCAGCCACGGUAAUACAGAGGGUGCGAGCGUUAAUCGGAUUUACUGGGCGUAAAGCGUGCGUAGGCGGCUUUUUAAGUCGGAUGUGAAAUCCCUGAGCUUAACUUAGGAAUUGCAUUCGAUACUGGGAAGCUAGAGUAUGGGAGAGGAUGGUAGAAUUCCAGGUGUAGCGGUGAAAUGCGUAGAGAUCUGGAGGAAUACCGAUGGCGAAGGCAAUCCCCUGGGCCUGUACUGACGCUCAUGCACGAAAGCGUGGGGAGCAAACAGGAUUAGAUACCCCGUAGUCCCUGUCUCUUAUACA
rnacentral:rRNA from 1 species